UAGGGAAUUUUCGUCAAUGGGGGGAACCCUGAACGAGCAAUGCCGCGUGAGUGAGGAAGGUCUUCGGAUCGUAAAGCUCUGUUGUAAGAGAAAAACGGCACUCAUAGGGAAUGAUGAGUGAGUGAUGGUAUCUUACCAGAAAGUCACGGCUAACUACGUGCCAGCAGCCGCGGUAAUACGUAGGUGGCGAGCGUUAUCCGGAAUGAUUGGGCGUAAAGGGUGCGUAGGUGGCAGAUCAAGUCUGGAGUAAAAGGUAUGGGCUCAACCCGUACUGGCUCUGGAAACUGAUCCGCUAGAGAACAGAAGAGGACGGCGGAACUCCAUGUGUAGCGGUAAAAUGCGUAGAUAUAUGGAAGAACGCCGGUGGCGAAGGCGGCCGUCUGGUCUGGAUUCUGACACUGAAGCACGAAAGCGUGGGGAGCAAAUAGGAUUAGAUACCCUGGUAGU
rnacentral:rRNA from 1 species